rnacentral:snRNA from 1 species
CAACUCUGGUUUCUCUUCAAUCACGCACAAGUUUUUCGCCUUUUACUAAGACUUCCGUGGAGAGCAACGCUUACGAGUUCAACGUAUUUUUGGACGGGCUUUGCUCCCGGCAGAGCC